ACCAAAAGGCGGGGAUGGGGUCUACAGUUGGUGUGUACAAGACGAUGAGGAACCCGGUGAGAAUCCGGGGCGGUCGCGCCACUGUGACUUCGUUAGCGGUUGGGCAGUACGCCUGGUCAACCUGGUCGUUCCAGGAAGGGACAGCCCGAUUAUUGGAUCUGCUGGGGUGAAAACCCCAGGUUGGGAUCGUGUUUAACGAAGCAGCCAGAUACUCGCGUUUUGUAUUUACUUUCU
rnacentral:ncRNA from 2 species